AUUGAACGCUGGCGGCAGGCCUAACACAUGAAAGUCGGACGAGCGGCUGACUGGUGAGUAAUGUAUGGGGAACUGCCUGCUGGAGGGGGAUAACUCCUGGACACGGUAGCUAAUACCGCAUACCAUCAGAUGAUCCACUAUGGGAUUAGCUUUGAGGUGGGGUAACGGCUCACCUAGGCGACGAUCCCUAGCUGGGCUGAGAGGAUGAACAGCCACACUGGGACUGAGACACGGCCCAGACUCCUACGGGAGGAAGCAGUGGGGAAUAGUGCACAAUGGGCGCAAGCCUGAUGCAGCCAUGCCGCGUGUAUGAAGAAGGCCUUCGGGUUGUAAAGUACUUUCAGUCGGGAGGCGUUACCGACAGAAGAAGCACCGGCUAACUCCGUGCCAGCAGCCGCGGUAAUUC
rnacentral:rRNA from 1 species